AUUGAACGCUGGCGGCAUGCCUUACACAUGCAAGUCGAACGGCAGCACGGGAGCAAUCCUGGUGGCGAGUGGCGAACGGGUGAGUAAUAUAUCGGAACGUGCCCAGUCGUGGGGAUAACGUAGCGAAAGCUACGCUAAUACCGCAUACGAUCUAUGGAUGAAAGCGGGGGAUCGCAAGACCUCGCGCGAUUGGAGCGGCCGAUAUCAGAUUAGGUAGUUGGUGAGGUAAAGGCUCACCAAGCCGACGAUCUGUAGCUGGUCUGAGAGGACGACCAGCCACACUGGGACUGAGACACGGCCCAGACUCCUACGGAGGCAGCAGUGGGGAAUUUUGGACAAUGGGCGCAAGCCUGAUCCAGCAAUGCCGCGUGCAGGAUGAAGGCCUUCGGUUGUAACUGCUUUGUACGGAACGAACGGU
rnacentral:rRNA from 1 species